rnacentral:rRNA from 1 species
UACGGAGGGUGCAAGCGUUGUUCGGAUUUACUGGGCGUAAAGCGCGCGCAGGUGGGUGACCAAGUCGGAAGUGAAAUCUCGAGGCUCAACCUCGAGGCUGCUCCCGAAACUGGUCGCCUAGGGACUGGUAGAGCUGGUAGAAUUCCCGGUGUAGCGGUGGAAUGCGUAGAGAUCGGGAAGAACACCGGUGGCGAAGGCGGGCU